UGGACUUUCUUUUCAUUUUGUCGACAUAUUCCAUAAGCGAUGCAGCGUAGCGGCCACAACUUUCUCUUAGCCAAUAAGACGUUACCUCCCAACACGAUAAUCGCACGCCCCCCUUCGUCAAUGGCACACACAUCCAGAAAAAACGGCGCCGGAAAAACCCCGUCUGCUUACGUCAGUCUACAUCCCGCCAUCAUUUGAAAAAAAAAAGGCACAGUAUAAAGCGUAUAAAAACGACAGGAGAUGAGGCCAAAUAAGAAGAUGUUCAAACGCGUGAAACUCUUUUCUCUUUGUUACUUUGUCGUUCCACAACCUUUCCAGCAUGACACGAACAACGUCAAAUUCCAACGUCCCGUAUUUCUUUUUUGUUCCCAAUACGGAACUCAUUUUUCCCCCCCAAAUAAAUCAACGUUUCAAACAUCACCAGCAAUAACGUGAAUUUUGCCCCUUCAAAAAGAAAGACAUUAAAUGUUAGCCCCUAUAUUUAUAAAACCUCCUUUUUAUGUAUGGCAUGCUGGUAGAGUGUAGGUCAAACGAAGAAGAGAUGCUCUCGUCAUUCCCACACUUGGUUCGGAGAAAGUUCUCUUCCCUCUUUGACAUUCCAUUUUCUCGUUUGUUUUCUUUCUUUUUCUUUUUUUUUUUUGAAUAAUAACAACAAGUCCCGCAAGCUCCGUAUUCUAAAUUUAUAACUCUGUCCGCUCGUUUUCUUUUAUUUAAAUUAAAAUUCUUACCGCUCAAUUGUGGGCUCUGGCGGAGAAAGUUGGGCCCAAACGAACUCUGCGUUGCCGACAGCAGCCAAUGACCUUUUUUUCUUCUUCUUCUUCUUCUUAUUCCAGGUGAAAAUUUCAACAACAACAAAAUAAAAAAAGAUUCUCUGUUU